UUGUGAAGAGAAAAAAUCCAAAAUUACCUGUGUGGCAAGUCCCCACGGUGUCCUUCACUUGUGUUCACAUGAGCACGUUCUCUCGUGUCCCGUGUCACAGGUACAGCUAAAACAUGGAAACUUACACCAGACAUCAAAGUGCAUUUGUGUUAAUUUUGUCUUUUAGAAUUUCAGCUCAUUUUUCCAGAGGACACACUUACCCUCCAAAGUGUACUGCACUCAAGCUGAGAAGUACCUCCGAACUAAAAUAAAUUAGCUGAACCCAACUAACAUGCUAUUUUGUAUGCAAGAGUCCUGGUCCUUUCCCAGGAUUGCCUUGCAGGCUGUACCCCGCGGACCACCCUUCACCACCAGUCAUGGGCUAUAGGCCACAUCCCCCUCCUCCAUCUACUCUAUUUGUUAAGAGGACCUGAACUGGCUGAGUGGCUGGACAACUCUGUUGAAAUUUGAAGAGGACUGUGCACGGUGACAGACAAUCGUGUUUGUAUAUAUUUUAAGAAGGUGUCCGAUCUACCUGAAUGCUUUCCCUGCCCAUCCUGUCCCCUCCACUUUGUCCUUCCUACUGUCCCCUAAUCUACCUUUCAUUGUUUUGUCUCUGUGUCAGCGUCUGCUUCUAGGGCCAUCUACUCUCGCUCCCCAUUGAGUGCACACAGGGGGGUUCCUGUACACACAGGUAACAAAGUGCCACAAAUGGUGGUGAGGGAGGAUAGAAGCAAGAUCACACUUUGUGCAGGGGAGCCUGAGGGAGUUUUCCGGGGCGAUGGGAACUCCCUAUAUCUAGAUUGAUGGGGUGCAUAUGCUCAAUUAUUUUGGAAAUAUCCCCUGACUCCAUGGUGCCUUGGGAUCAGACAGGUAUCUGUCCUUAGGAAAUGGCUGAGAUCUAAUGGUGGAGAAGGAUGAGGGACCAGCAGUGACUGUCGAGAGGAGUGAGGGUCAGACCCACGCCCAGGGUGCCAGGUCCCCACAGACAGCACCACGUGUAGGAGGGCUCUGAGGAGCAGAGAUUUCUUGAUCAGACCCAUGAACUACAUAAUCCUCCUGUAGUUUCCUCACUGAGCGAUGGCUAGAGCAGAGGCCAGCAGCUGGAGGACACCCUGAUCAUGGCUGGAGUGGAGCAGUGGGCCUGGGGGAUUGAGUCAGGGAAAGGGACAGGGAG